UACGGAGGGGGCUAGCGUUAUUCGGAAUUACUGGGCGUAAAGCGCACGUAGGCGGACUGGAAAGUUGGGGUGAAAGCCCAGGGCUCAACCCUGGAACUGCCUUCAAAACUCCCAAUCUUGAGGUCGAGAGAGGUGAGUGGAAUUCCGAGUGUAGAGGUGAAAUUCGUAGAUAUUGGGAAGAACACCGAUGGGCGAAGGCAGCCAUCUGGACCGACACUGACGCGUGAGGCGCGAAAGCGUGGGGAGCAACAGG
rnacentral:rRNA from 1 species